GUGUUGGAAGCAUGAGAAAUGGGCAAGUGUCACAGUACACCCAGAGCCCUGCAGACAGCAAGGUGUGGCCACCCCUUUAAGAGACCUGGCUGGGUUUGAACUCACAGCUCUAGCAUCCAAGUCAGGUUCUCUGCCAUGAUAUCCACCAGGGGACUUCAGUUUCUGUUUGCAUUAUUCUGCUUCCUGACCCCUUGCCUGGAAUGAGCAGUACUAAUCCACCUGCAACCCUUUUACAAUUAGGGUCAGCUGCAUCUAAUUAGCAGGCUGUAUAAGCCAGCUCUGCCUGAAACCUAGGAUCUGGUCAUUUUGCCCGUUUGGUGUUUCCUGACGGAUCUUUGAUUUGCUACUGACUGAUUUCCUGGACUCUGACCUCUGCCUGCUUUACCGACUACGUUACUGCGCUGCCAGCCCUGACUCCUGCUUUUUGCCUGACCCUUCCUUUGGAUUUCCCCUUAAUCUGUACUGCGCUUCUGGUUUUUGCCUCUUUCCUGUGCCAUCUCCUGCAACUGGGCUCCAACUCCUGGAAAACUGUUACAUAAGUGCCCAGCUGCCUGUUACAGCAAAUGAAAAGAUCUCAGUGACUUUGAGAAGGGCCAAAUAGUGUUGGCUAGACAACUGGAGGCCCCAACUUGCAGGAUUUAAAGGAUCUGCUGCUAAUGUCUUGGUGCUAAAUAUUACAGGACACGUUCAGAGGUCUUGUGGAGUCCAUGCUUCGACACAUCAGAGCUGUUUUGGGAACAUGAAGGAGACCUACAUGCUUUACCCCUUGCACAGAAAAUAACUCUAAAUUCUGUCACUUUCACCUUAAUAAAAAGCUCCGGAUUGUAUUUAUUUUAUCUAGCAAUGUGUUUGUCAUUUUUCUUAUGGC